ACAAUGGGAAGAAAAACUUCAGGAGAAAAGUGCAGUUUUGGAGAAACAGCCACGGGGAAAGAAAAGCGUAGAAGAGGAUUCCAUUUUAACUUCUAAUUUUCAGUUACAUGUGGCCAUAGGACCAAAUGUGUAAGAACACUGGGGCAAAAAAGAAGAAAAACGGAGAUGAGAUGAGAUGAGAAAAGGCGAGGAGAGAAAAGAGACACUGGUAUAUUCUGGAAUAAACUGUAUCUGAUCCUAGUUCAUGACAGUCAUUGUCAUUCUUCCCCUACUCAGGUGGAAAGACCAAACAGAAAAAUCACCAAACAUGUGAAAAGACUCAC
rnacentral:lncRNA from 1 species